AUGAGCAGUGGUUGAAGAUUAUUUUAGCAUCACUACAAUUUAUGUCAUUAACUUUUAGCUUAAUAAUUAUGUUAAUUUGUCCUUGAUGUUUAAAGAAAUAUGAAGGAGAGCUCAUUAAAGGUAAUUGGGUCCAGGUGAGACCGCGAGUCAGUCUUACUGGAUGCAGUUCUGAGGUGGAGUUCAGGAUGAGGUGGAGCUGCUUCAGAUUGGAGCCAAGCCUUCUGAGUUCUGCGUUGUAGGCGCAGCCGUGGUGUCUGAGGCCGUCCACCAGGGAGAUGUAGCGUCUCAUUUUGUACAUCACACAACCGUUCUGUCGUGACAAGCAAAUAGAAGGUGUGAUAUGAGACGCUCCAUCACUCACAGCAUCUAAAGGACGUUCACACCUGCCAAACACCAAAUCAGAGAUUGGCCCGCUUUCCAGCACCGCUCCCUUCCUAACAUGGUGUGUGAACAUGAGGAGGAUGGAUGCCCACACAGGGUGCGGCGUGGCAUGAUGGAGCGCCGUCGUCGCCGCCGCCUCACAGAGGACAAAUAAUGUGCUGUGUGCACUGUAAGCAGAUCUUUCAUCCCCCCAGUCCUCCUCUCAGCUAUUCUCCUCUCGACCUUGUCCCACUCAAUUAACAGAGGAGGCAGGUGACUGUGCACUUCACAAAAUCAAUGGAAGUGAUUUACUCUUUAUAGUAAAAGCUGCACCAACUCAUGA